GACGAACGCUGGCGGCGUGCUUAACACAUGCAAGUCGAACGGAAAGGCCCCUUUGGGGGUACUCGAGUGGCGAACGGGUGAGUAACACGUGAGUAACCUACCCUUGACUUCGGGAUAACUUCAGGAAACUGGGGCUAAUACCGGAUAGGAAUCCUUGCUGCAUGGUGGGGGUUGGAAAGCUUCGGCGGUUUUGGAUGGACUCGCGGCUUAUCAGCUUGUUGGUGGGGUAGUGGCUUACCAAGGCUUUGACGGGUAGCCGGCCUGAGAGGGCGACCGGCCACAUUGGGACUGAGAUACGGCCCAGACUCCUACGGGAGGCAGCAGUGGGGAAUAUUGCACAAUGGGCGGAAGCCUGAUGCAGCAACGCCGCGUGCGGGAUGACGGCCUUCGGGUUGUAAACCGCUUUCAGCAGGGGCGAAGCUUGUGGUGACGGUACCUGCAGAAGAAGCACCGGCUAACUACGUG
rnacentral:rRNA from 1 species